AUUGAACGUUGGCGGCACGCCUAACACAUGCAAGUCGAACGGCAACAGGCGAAUAUUUUCGGAUAUUUGUGCUGGCGAGUGGCGGACGGGUGAGUAAAGCGUAGGGAUCUGCCCUGAAGAGGAGGAUAACCCGGGGAAACUCGGGCUAAUACUGCAUAGACUCUGAGGAGGAAAGCUGCCCGCAAGGGUGGUGCUUUAGGAUGAACCUACGUCCGAUUAGCUAGUUGGUGGGGUAAAGGCCCACCAAGGCGAUGAUCGGUAGCUGGUCUGAGAGGACGGCCAGCCACACUGGGACUGAGAAACGGCCCAGACUCCUACGGGAGGCAGCAGUGGGGAAUUUUGGACAAUGGGGGAAACCCAGAUCCAGCGAUGCCGCGUGGGUGAAGAAGGCCUGCGGGUUGUAAAGCCCUUUCGGUGGUGAAGAGGCGAGUUAGUGUUAAUAGCGCUAACUGGUGACGGUAACCACAGAAGAAGCACCGGCUAACUCUGUGCCAGCCGCCGCCGUAAAAC
rnacentral:rRNA from 1 species